rnacentral:rRNA from 1 species
GGACGUUUCCCGGAUUAUUGGGCGUAAGAGCUCGUAGGCGGUUUGUCGCGUCUGCCGUGAAAGUCCGGGGCUCAACUCCGGAUCUGCGGUGGGUACGGGCAGACUAGAGUGAUGUAGGGGAGACUGGAAUUCCUGGUGUAGCGGUGAAAUGCGCAGAUAUCAGGAGGAACACCGAUGGCGAAGGCAGGUCUCUGGGCAUUAACUGACGCUGAGGAGCGAAAGCAUGGGGAGCGAACAGGAUUAGAUACCCUGGUAGUCCAUGCCGUAAACGUUGGGCACUAGGUGUGGGGGACAUUCCACGUUUUCCGCGCCGUAGCUAACGCAUUAAGUGCCCCGCCUGGGGAGUACGGCCGCAAGGCUAAAACUCAGAGGAAUUGACGGGGGCCCGCACAAGCGGCGGAGCAUGCGGAUUAAUUCGAUGCAACGCGAAGAACCUUACCAAGGCUUGACAUGAACCGGUAAGACCUGGAAACAGGUCCCCCACUUGUGGCCGGUUUACAGGUGGUGCAUGGUUGUCGUCAGCUCGUGUCGUGAGAUGUUGGGUUAAGUCCCGCAACGAGCGCAACCCUCGUUCCAUGUUGCCAGCGCGUUAUGGCGGGGACUCAUGGGAGACUGCCGGGGUCAACUCGGAGGAAGGUGGGGACGACGUCAAAUCAUCAUGCCCCUUAUGUCUUGGGCUUCACGCAUGCUACAAUGGCCGGUACAAAGGGUUGCGAUACUGUGAGGUGGAGCUAAUCCCAAAAAGCCGGUCUCAGUUCGGAUUGGGGUCUGCAACUCGACCCCAUGAAGUCGGAGUCGCUAGUAAUCGCAGAUCAGCAACGCUGCGGUGAAUACGUUCCCGGGCCUUGUACACACCGCCCGUCAAGUCACGAAAGUUGGUAACACCCGAAGCCGGUGGCCUAACCCCUUGUGGGAGGGAGCUGUCGAAGUGGACUGGCGAUUGGACUAAGUCGUAACAAGGUAACC